AAAAGGGACAGCAUACCAGA
rnacentral:piRNA from 2 species